AUCUUGCUGGAGAUCCCUGCCUACCUGAGGCCAUGUGGAGGAUAGGCAAUUCUGAAUAAUCCUGCCUGAGAACCUACUUACUGCUGAUGCUCAAGUACAUCCAAUGCUGUGACUUCUUGGACAAAACAAAAACUUCCUGCUGACUAAUGUCUGCUUUGCCCCAACCUGCCGGAUGCUCUGAGAUUGGAUCAUACUGGGGAGCAGAAGUGUAUCACCAGGCACCAAGUUGCCACUUUCUUGGCUGUUCUGUAUUGUGAGCCCUGAAAUGAUAACUAUCAGUUUGACACAUCUUAACUGUAAAUCGCUGCCGCCUUAUGGCCAAUCAUCCCUGUGCAUUUCUGACAAACCUGCAGCACUUUUGCCCUCCCAAGUGCUGCCUUGCACUGCACAUGGAGCAUUUGCAGCUAGUUAGUUCUGAUUGCUUUAACAAGUCUGAAAAAUAACAAAAGAAAAGUUGUUCUUGUAGCAAAACCACAAGGAAAUCCUCUAGGACAUGCUAUGGAAGUACAGAGUUCCCUUCUCGUUACACCUCUGCUUUCAAUAUGUAUUUCCGGUUCUCUGCAUUGGAAUAAAUAAGAAAUCACAGAAAUCUUGAUAUAGUUUUGUGUCAUGCUGUUUGUAUUAUUCAUUUAAAUUGCCAAUUAAAGGAGCUACUUGUAUGAGCAAGAGUGUGAUGUGGCCUGCUAUGUAACACUGGUGCAUACUUUGUAAUUGAAGAAAGAAAUAUUUUGGAUUAUGCUUCUCAUUCUUCUGA